rnacentral:lncRNA from 1 species
AAGUGACUGCAGGUUAAAUCUCAUUUUCAAGAUGCCUAUGGUAGAGUAGAAAAUAUGGACAAGUUUAGGUUCAUAUUUUGGAACAGAAUAAGGAGAGACACAUGAAACUAUUUAUACAGACUGUGUGAAGUAUCUGCCAUGUAAAAGCCAUUAAGUCCAUGUGCUGUCUUCUGAGGUUUAUUUCACACCUUUUGACUUCCAGCCUCCACAUGGGACUUGGACUAUCCAUCUAUUUCUUCAGUGUGGGCCUGUGUAUUAUUGAUCCAUCUGGCCUUGGGAUCAGCCCUUAUUGUCUCAUUGACAGAUACAUAAAACAACAGACUUAAAAACAGAGAAGUAAGUAGUUAUAAAUAAGUGGUACUUGGUUAUGACUAAGUUUUUGGGCACUUUGUGACACAGUGGAGGCAAAUUGCUCUAUUGUUGACAAUCUCUGCCAUCAGAAUUCACGUGCUUUGCACUGCUGUUGUUGGGAGCUUCUCAGCAUCGAGCUGUGACUCACAGUGACAGAGGUACCAGGCAGAUGUUCUCCUCCAAACAUGGGCUGCACGUGAGGCACAGGAAUGUGCUUCAGGCAUUCUGGCACCAGUUCCUGACGCCACUGCAGAUUCCUGCUGCCUCGUUUGUCUUUCUGUGCCUCUUUGCUCCAUAUUGGAUGGGGAUGUGACUUCCUGACUCACAAAUGUGUUGUGUUUGUGAGAGGCUCAAACCCUACUGUUCAGCAAUCAGCUCUGUAGCUGGAGUCAAGCAGAUGCCUCCCAUAGGUAUCCUGGAGCAGUAGGGCAUAUUUGGGACACAUUUAGCCUCAAAUGGAAGCAUCAUUUAGGUACAUGUACUGGGAGGAGGAUUUUGGGUGUUUGUGAUGUGUGUUGUUGACAAUAAUCUUGGUAUUUCACGUUGACUUUGGAAGGCUGUUUUAGUAAAUAGAUAAAAGACAUUUUUUCCUUGAUCCUUCCACUGACCCCCUGCAUAUUUCCCUGUAAUCCAAAGCCUCUGCACAUUACCCACACAGCACAAUCCUCAUUCCAAGAGACCAUAUGCUUCAUUGCCUUAAGCAGUUCUGCUCUUCCCUGCCUGCUUCUUGGAGCAGUUGUACAUGUAUAUAAUAAUAACUAAAAUGACUGAGCAGAAACACCAUAAAAGAAAUGGCUGUAGCUUGGGAGUGACCUCAAAAAGGAGGGACACUGUGAUGUGCUGGUGAGGCACAGAACACAUCAAGAGCUGAGUUCCACAGCCAUUGACAUGUCGUGGGCAGCUGAGGAAACCCAGCCUUUCACAUCUCUUGAGAGCAAGGACCGAGCUGCUGUGUUGCCAUGUGAAAAAUGUUAU